UUUCCGUAGGUGAACCUGCGGAAGGAUCAUUACUGGGUUCACGAGGUUCGUCCUCGACCACCCGCCCUCUGUCAUCUUGCUACAUCUCUUCGGCCGUCGGCCGCCCUCGGGCACCGCGGUCGGUCAGCAACUCUUUUUCCGCAUGGCAUGUCGUCUGAUACAGAAAAGAAAAUGAAAAGCAAAACUUUCAACAACGGAUCUCUUGGUUCUGGCAUCGAUGAAGAACGCAGC
rnacentral:misc_RNA from 1 species